rnacentral:tRNA from 1 species
UUAGCUCACUUGGUUAGAGCGUGGUGCUGAUAACACCAAGGACGAGGGUUCGAGCUCCAUUA